rnacentral:misc_RNA from 1 species
CCAAAUCCAAAUCCCAACCCCAUGUGAACCUGUUUUUGUCUGUCUUUGGGGGUAGCACUGGGACAGUGUUAUGCUUCCCUUUUGUUGCCCCCAAAAGAAUCCGGCACUCCGGUGUUGGAUUCGCUGACUAAACCACUUUUAACCUUUUUUGGAAUAAUCUUAUAUUAAUCUAAUAUAAGA